ACGACGCUGGCGGCGUGGAUUAGGCAUGCAAGUCGAACGGGAAGCUUUGGAUUCAAGACUUCGGUCAAGAAUCUAAAGUGGAGAGUGGCGAAAGGGUGAGUAACACGUGGGUAACCUGCCUUUAGGUCUGGGAUAACUUGUCGAAAGACGGGCUAAUACCGGAUAUGACUACAGAUGCUUCGGCAUCAGUGGUAAAAGAUGAGGACCUCUUCGGAGGCUUAUCACCUUUAGAUGGGCCCGCGGCUUAUUAGCUUGUUGGUAGGGUAACGGCCUACCAAGGCUAUGAUGAGUAGCUGGUCUGAGAGGAUGGUCAGCCACACUGGGACUGAGACACUGCCCAGACUCCUACGGGAGGCUGCAGUCGAGAAUCUUUCGCAAUGGGGGAAACCCUGACGAAGCGACGCCGCGUGCGGGAUGAAGGCCCUCGGGUUGUAAACCGCUGUCACAACGGAAGAAAAGUGGUCGUGCUAAUAUCACGGUCAUCUGACUGUACGUUGAGAGGAAGCCACGGCUAACUCCGUGCCAGCCGCCGCGGUAAUACAAGCCGAAUUCCAGGCACAC
rnacentral:rRNA from 1 species